ACCCUCUUUUGUUCUCAACUACAUAUAUACGAUGGCUGCUUCUUCUUCAGUUCGUUUGUUUGCAACUGUCUCACUCUUGGUGAUGCUCUUCAUGGCCUCUGGGAUGGGAAUAAUGGCCGCGGGUCCGAGAAUGUGCUCGUCGCGGAGCCAAA